UACGGAGGAUCCAAGCGUUAUCCGGAUUUAUUGGGUUUAAAGGGUGCGUAGGCGGAUCUUUAAGUCAGUGGUGAAAGUUUGCGGCUCAACCGUAAAAUUGCCAUUGAAACUGAAGAUCUUGAGUGUAAAUGAGGUAGGCGGAAUGUGUUGUGUAGCGGUGAAAUGCUUAGAUAUAACACAGAACACCAAUUGCGAAGGCAGCUUACUGGGAUACAACUGACGCUGAGGCACGAAAGCGUGGGGAUCAAACAGGAUUAGAUACCCUGGUAGUCCACGCAGUAAACGAUGAAUACUAACUGUAUGCGAUAUACUGUAUGUGGUACAGCGAAAGCGUUAAGUAUUCCACCUGGGGAGUACGUUCGCAAGAAUGAA
rnacentral:rRNA from 1 species